ACUCCUACGGGAGGCAGCAGUGGGGAAUAUUGCACAAUGGGCGCAAGCCUGAUGCAGCCAUGCCGCGUGUAUGAAGAAGGCCUUCGGGUUGUAAAGUACUUUCAGCAGUGAGGAAGGUGGGUAUGUUAAUAGCAUAUUCAUUUGACGUUAGCUGCAGAAGAAGCACCGGCUAACUCCGUGCCAGCAGCCGCGGUAAUACGGAGGGUGCGAGCGUUAAUCGGAAUUACUGGGCGUAAAGCGCAUGCAGGUGGUUUGUUAAGUCAGAUGUGAAAGCCCGGGGCUCAACCUCGGAAUUGCAUUUGAAACUGGCAAACUAGAGUACUGUAGAGGGGGGGUAGAAUUUCAGGUGUAGCGGUGAAAUGCGUAGAGAUCUGAAGGAAUACCGGUGGCGAAGGCGGCCCCCUGGACAGAUACUGACACUCAGAUGCGAAAGCGUGGGGAGCAAACAGGAUUAGAUACCAUGGUAGGCUCUGC
rnacentral:rRNA from 1 species